CCCAUCUUUCUAGCAAUAACAAAGUGAAAAGGAUUUAUUUUUUUUAACUGUUCACUUGGGCAUCUGAAAGUCAGCCUCGAAAUGUAUUAUUAAAUAUUGACUUUUGACAGCUUCAGUCAAUCUUUGAAGACAUUGAGGAAUUUUAUCAUACAGGCUUGGGAAACACUGUACCCUUAAUAUGUCUACAAUACUGUGGUUUACUAUUACCUCAAAAAUCUGAUAAUCCCUUUCCUUAAAAUGGUUAUCUUUUCAUUUAUUUUUGUAUUUUCAGAGGAUUGAAGGGACACUCUAGGAAUAAUGGAGCUUUUCUAAUGGAGGAAAAGUAUUGUAUUGCUCAUCUGAAAUGAGUGUUUGUUAACAGCACACGCUGCCAACUUUUGUUCUCAUGUGCUUCAGGAGCUCAAAUGACUCCACUGAAACUCUGGCAUUUAUCACAGACAAAAUUAGGUCAGAAGAGAGCACAGAGGUACUGAACUGAAAAGAGAUAAAUUCAUCCUUAGAAGAACAAAACAAAACAAAAAAGUCUCAAGCUGCAAACUUGGGUUUAAUUUAUCUUCUCCAUGUAAGGGACCAAAGGGGCAAGUGGGAAAGGAAGGACUAGCGCAAGCUGCACAGCGGUAAGAUCCAACUUUAAUUUAUCAAAUCGAGCUUUGCUUCUGUGGCUCCACACAAUUUAAAUAAGACUUAUCUCAGCAUGUAGAUGUGAAUUUUAUUGAAUAAAGUCCCUAUCUGGUGAUAUGGUGGUUUUUUUCAUAUGGUUUAUGUGAUCUGUAAUAGAUGCUCUUACCCCCUUCCCUCAGAUUCGAAAAAACCCAAAUUGUAGUGGCUGCUGAUGCUGGUUUUAAUGUGCUUUUUUAACAUCGUGUUCUUCAAAUUUGAAGUUCAGGAAAAAUUCUAUAUUUUAGUGACAGCAAAAAGCCUACAGCUUAGAUUCCUUGAUAAAAGUGAAAAUGCUUUGUGACAAGAAUGCAACUUACCCUCUUAACAUUCUCUGUACAAUGCUCUCCGAUCUGUUUGCUUCCCAUAUACUUUCAACCCCAUUGAAAAUGCUUUAAGGUCCCACUUCAUAACACUUAUGAGUGAAAGUGUGCUCAACCUCUAGAAGAUGAUCAGAAUGGUCUGCAAAUUGAUGCAUCUGAGUGUUCAAAAAGACCUGUUUUCUUCCAGAGCUUGCCUUUAAUUUCAGGUUUGGUAGUUUCACUGCUCAGAAUUAUGUGUAUGUAUUAAGGAUUCAUUUUUGGCAGACCUCUACUUCUGAGUAUUCAAAUUCAGACAUGGAAAUAUGUUUUGAAAGGUAGUAUCUUGACUGAUAUUUCCUUGAGUAAAGCUGUUGUAGGAGAGCAAAAGGAAGA